AUUAAAUCUUGGCAAAAUCAUCAAAUUUACGUUAUCUUAUUCUGACCUGCGGUGAUCAGACUCUAGUAACUUGCUAAAGCACUGAAGCUUCGUGCAACAGUAACAGCGUGGAGAAAGCUCGUGCGCGUCGAAUCCAUCUCGCUCGGCCGACACAAUGACAUCCUCUUCUGCACUGCAGAGCUCUCAUCGGCUUCUACCUCCUCCUCCUCCUCCUCCUCCACCCACGCCGAGUACGUAGAUUUGAACCUUCAACCCACUAGAGACGUAAGGUGCUCGACCAAAUGCGCCUACGAAGUCGAUUUGUUCGUUGUUUUUGCCUACUUAGAAGUGUGCAUGGAAUUCCCUCCUUCAAAAGAGCGGAGAAAGCAGUCACGUACGUGAUGGAACGGGGCUCAAAACCACACCAUUUCAUCUCCUUACUACGCCGGUGCAGUCUCAUAGUGGCAGGGCGUGACCGUGUUCCUGCACGCCGCCUCCGUGCCGGUCAUUUCGUCAAACAGCUGGAACGCGAACGCAGAGCGAAGCGACGGCACCGACCAAAGAGCUUUAAAUGACAGCGUCCAGGAGAUGAAUCCGGCUUCAUCAGGAAGGGGUGAUAGAACUGGUAGUGGCGAGAGCUUUCGGAAGCCAACGAUCGGACGAGGUCUUCGACGAUGCCUGUGAUCCCCUGGCAAAGACGGUGCCGCACUGUCAUUGAUACAUGAGUGAAGUAAUACUGGAGUCUCGUUACCUUUAGUGCGAAUAAGACGUUGCAGUUUGGACGAUUUCGCAACGAUUUAAUUCUUUUGGAGGCAGUUCAUGCACCCAGCGGGAGGCAGCGGUAAGAGAACCGGAGAGUCUUCGGAUCUUCGACGUCCCCCGAAUCGCACCCAACCGCGGCCGCGGGUUCGACAGGCCGGCAUCAUUAAGAAGCAUAAGGUAUGGAAACCGAUUUGUAAGCUUACCGCCAGCCACCGAGUGCCUGAACUGCCUCCAAAAAAAAAUAAAUCUUGUCAAAA